AUGAUGACAAGCUCUCAAUGUCCUCUCUGCACUUUGGAUUGUGAGAGUAUUAGACAUGCCAUGUUCUUGUGCCCUAGAGUUCAAGAAAUCUGGAGGAUAUUGGGACUGCAAGAUGUGGUUCAGGAGAUGUGUGCGCUAGAAAGGGAUGGCGGAUCGGUGCUGGCUGAUCUUCUUCUAUCAACGAAUAAUAACAUGGCUCAUAUGACUGAUGUUCAACGCAAUGACCUUGUGGCCACUACAGUGUGGUACGUUUGGUGGGAAAGACGCUGCUACACUCAUGGUGAAUAUGUGUAUGAACCAAGCAGGUCAGCGCAAGCAAUUUUAGCUCUUGCUAAGAAUUUUUCCAAGGCAAAGUCGAAGCAAGCGAAACUGAGAAGAUAUGGAUGGAGUAAGCCACCGGAGGGAGUUAUCAAACUUAAUGUCGAUGCCACUUUUGAUCCUGAUAGGGGAACAGGGGGUACGGGUGCAAUAUUACGAGACGAAGCUGGUUUCUUCGUCGCAGCUUCAUGCAGUAAUAUCCCUUUUGUGGAAGACGCGGCUACGGCAGAAGCUAGAGGUAUGCGAGAUGGGCUCUUACUCGCAAAUGAAGUUGGGUGCAAUAAAAUUUGCGUCGAGUCCGAUUGCAUGGAGGUCGUCGAUGUCAUGCAAGGGGGUGGUAAUUCGCUAGGCCCGGCAGCCGCAAUUUAUGAAGAAUGUUCUUUUCUUGCUAGAAAUUUUAUUUCUAUUAUGUUUUCCUACUGCCCUAGGGAGGCCAAUGCGGCGGCAGAUUUAUUGGCUAGAAACUCGGAGUUCUCUCAUACAAUUGUUUGGAAAUCGGAGCCUCCGGGAUUUCUAGUCGAUGUGUUGACAAACGAUGUAUCACUUUUUGCGCAUGAAAUAUAA
rnacentral:rRNA from 1 species